CCGAGUGCGGGUCUUUAUGGCCCAACCUCCCACCCGUGACUAUUGUACCUUGUUGCUUCGGCGGGCCCGCCAGCGUUGCUGGCCGCCGGGGGGCGACUUGCCCCCGGGCCCGUGCCCGCCGGAGACCCCAACAUGAACCCUGUUCUGAAAGCUUGCAGUCUGAGUGUGAUUCUUUGCAAUCAGUUA
rnacentral:misc_RNA from 1 species